UACGGGGGGGGCAAGCGUUGUUCGGAAUUAUUGGGCGUAAAGAGCUCGUAGGCGGUUUGUCGCGUCUGCUGUGAAAACCCAGGGCUCAACCCUGGGCCUGCAUUCGAUACGGGCAGACUAGAGUUCGGUAGGGGAGACUGGAAUUCCUGGUGUAGCGGUGAAAUGCGCAGAUAUCAGGAGGAACACCGGUGGCGAAGGCGGGUCUCUGGGCCGAAACUGACGCUGAGGAGCGAAAGCGUGGGGAGCAAACAGG
rnacentral:rRNA from 1 species